GAUGAACGCUGGCGGCGUGCCUAAUACAUGCAAGUCGAGCGAACAGAUAAGGAGCUUGCUCCUUUGACGUUAGCGGCGGACGGGUGAGUAACACGUGGAUAACCUACCUAUAAGACUGGGAUAACUUCGGGAAACCGGAGCUAAUACCGGAUAACAUAUUGAACCGCAUGGUUCAAUAGUGAAAGGCGGCUUUGCUGUCACUUAUAGAUGGAUCCGCGCCGUAUUAGCUAGUUGGUAAGGUAACGGCUUACCAAGGCAACGAUACGUAGCCGACCUGAGAGGGUGAUCGGCCACACUGGAACUGAGACACGGUCCAGACGCCUAAGGGAGGCAGCAGUAGGGAAUCUUCCGCAAUGGGCGAAAGCCUGACGGAGCAACGCCGCGUGAGUGAUGAAGGUCUUCGGAUCGUAAAACUCUGUUAUCAGGGAAGAACAAAUGUGUAAGUAACUGUGCACAUCUUGACGGUACCUGAUCAGAAAGCCACGGCUAACUACGUG
rnacentral:rRNA from 1 species